GAUGAACGCUAGCGGGAGGCCUAACACAUGCAAGCCGAGCGGUAUUGUUUCUUCGGAACUGGGAGAGCGGCGUACGGGUGCGUAACACGUGUGCAACCUGCCUUUAUCUGGGGGAUAGCCUUUCGAAAGGAAGAUUAAUACUCCAUAAUAUAUUGAACGGCAUCGUUUAAUAUUGAAAGCUCCGGCGGAUAGAGAUGGGCACGCGCAAGAUUAGCUAGUUGGUGAGGUAACGGCUCACCAAGGCGAUGAUCUUUAGGGGGCCUGAGAGGGUGAUCCCCCACACUGGUACUGAGACACGGACCAGACUCCUACGGGAGGCAGCAGUGAGGAAUAUUGGUCAAUGGGUGCAAGCCUGAACCAGCCAUCCCGCGUGAAGGACGACUGCCCUAUGGGUUGUAAACUUCUUUUGUAUAGGGAUAAACCUACCCCCGAGAGGGUAGCUGAAGGUACUAUACGAAUAAGCACCGGCUAACUCCGUG
rnacentral:rRNA from 1 species